rnacentral:rRNA from 1 species
UACGUAGGAGGCAAGCGUUGUCCGGAUUUACUGGGCGUAAAGAGCGUGUAGGCGGUUUAGCAAGUCCGCUGUGAAAUCUCCGAGCUUAACUUGGAGGCGUCGGUGGAAACUGCUAAACUUGAGGACGGUAGAGGGGGGUGGAAUUCCCGGUGUAGUGGUGAAAUGCGUAGAGAUCGGGAGGAACACCAGCGGCGAAGGCGGCCCCCUGGGCCGCUCCUGACGCUGAGACGCGAAGGCCAGGGUAGCGAACGGG